GACGAACGCUGGCGGCGUGCUUAACACAUGCAAGUCGAACGGAAAGGCCCUGCUUUUGUGGGGUGCUCGAGUGGCGAACGGGUGAGUAACACGUGAGUAACCUGCCCUUGACUUUGGGAUAACUUCAGGAAACUGGGGCUAAUACCGGAUAGGAGCUCCUGCUGCGUGGGGGGGUUGGAAAGUUUCGGCGGUUGGGGAUGGACUCGCGGCUUAUCAGCUUGUUGGUGGGGUAGUGGCUUACCAAGGCUUUGACGGGUAGCCGGCCUGAGAGGGUGACCGGCCACAUUGGGACUGAGAUACGGCCCAGACUCCUACGGGAGGCAGCAGUGGGGAAUAUUGCACAAUGGGCGGAAGCCUGAUGCAGCAACGCCGCGUGCGGGAUGACGGCCUUCGGGUUGUAAACCGCUUUCGCCUGUGACGAAGCGUGAGUGACGGUAAUGGGUAAAGAAGCACCGGCUAACUACGUG
rnacentral:rRNA from 1 species